GACGAACGCUGGCGGCGUGCUUAACACAUGCAAGUCGAACGAAGUGGCGAACGGGUGAGUAAUACGUGGGUAACCUGCCCUCCUUUUUGGGAUACGACUUGGAAACGGGGUCUAUUACCGAAUAUCGGGGGAUGGGCUCGGGGCCUAGCAGCUUGUUGGUGGGGUGAUGGCCUGCCAAGGCGGUGACGGGUUGGCGGCCUGAGAGGGUGACCGGGCACUGUGGCACGGGCAGACGGCCCAGAGUCCUCGGGGGGGGGGCAGGGGGUGAAAUGGCGCAAUGGGCGAGAGCCUGAUGCAGCGAGUGCGAGUGGGGGAUGAGGGCUUUCGGGUUGUAGAACUCUUGCGGAAUCGAACGGGUAGGUGGAGAAGAAGCGCCGGCUAACUACGUGCCAGCAGCCGCGGUAAUAC
rnacentral:rRNA from 1 species